rnacentral:lncRNA from 1 species
UUCUUUUUAAUCCAAAAAAUAUGGGACUUUUACCAAAAACAUUUAAAUAUUUUACUCUUUCAUUUUCUGAAUUUAAAUUAUUUUUUGGAUUAAUUUUGAUAUUUUUCAUGAAUUAAGUGUUUUUGUGCAUAUUUUUAAUUGUUUAAAUAUACUUCUGACUUUUCAAAAAUGAUGAUUUUUUUGUCUAAGGUCCUUUGACCUUGUUUGACCUAGGAUAAAUCUCUUGCCCGUUUAUUUG